GUGAAUAACAUUGGUCGGGUGGAGUUAUGUCGGUUGUUUUGUGUGAUACAAAUUUGCACGCUUUGAUGUUAACUCUCAGUGAAUUUUGUGAAUUGUGUGUUAUAAAAACAACAGGAACAGAUGAACAAGUGUCAUAACCAGGAGAAACCCAACAACAGCGGAAGAAGUGUUAAGACAGAAUAAAUGAAAACAUUGCAAUAAUAACUUAAUAUUUUGCGAAAUAAUUAAAAAAAUAACUUGGCCCAAGUAUAUUGUGCUCCAUACCACAGAAAGAUAACUACCCAAAAUCAGCGAGAUUUGGAUCACAAAUGAGAAAAAUAUCAACAAGAGAAAAAAUAAAAUAAUUCUCCCUGUCUUCUGAAUUCCUAAAAGUAGGCUAUGAAAUAAACAAAACAAACAAAGAAAAUCAAUAAAAUAAAUAUAAUAAAAAAUUUCAAAAAUGAAGGAAUCAUUUGAAUCUUCUGACAAAAAGAGAAAAAUUUAAACCUUCGAAAUAUACGACAACAAACUCCGUAAUCAUAUUUUUGAUUCAAUCAAUGAUGACAAUCAUUGCAAAAUAAUCAGCAGCAAACAGAAAUGGGAUAAUUAGAAAAAUUGGCAUCCUUUCAGCUAUUCGCAAGACAUAAGAUGGUGCAGCAAUUAUCUGAGCGCAGAGACUGUCAAAGAUUCUUUUGUGGAUUACCUUAGCAAUCUUUGUGCUCUGCUCAUGCUUCGGUAGAUGUCAUUCUUGAGAAAACAUUUUUUCGGUCAGCAUCAUCUAGAAAGGAAUAUCAUGUCGAGCCUGGUCCUCUUCCGUUGAUGUUGUUGUUAAAGCCAACCAACCCACCUUCCUCCACCCAUGUGGAGUUCGUUGCCUUUAUCAACAAAGGGACAUCGUAAAAAUAUGCCAAAAAGGCUGAUGCUUUGAAUAAAAUGGAACAAUAAGAUGGAGUUUUUGUGGAUGUGUGUGUUUCAAACAUCACGCAUAACCAUGUGGCGGCUACGUGACAAAAAGUAUUCACAAAAUAUUUUUAUUGUUUUCAGCUUAAAACUGGUUUUAAAUUGCAUAAAUGAAUGCGAAUAUUCUUUUGGCAGUCGUUUCUCCUACUCCUUUUCGUUUUUAAUCCUCUUCCGCGCUGCAACAAUGCAAAUAUAUAAAAGCCGUUUACUGUAAACAUGCAAAUCAUAUUUAAUUGUUUUCAGUAUAAUUUUUUUUUGUGCGGAGGAGGAUUUUUAUAUUUGUUUCCGUUUUGAUAACGAAGUUGUUAAAUGGAUGAAAUUAUCAAAAAUUUGGGUCGUAUGAAAUGCUUUCUUUUAUUUUGUAAUAAAUAUGUACAAAAUAAAUGAAUUUCGAUUAAUUCCAGAUAAUUUUGAAUUAUAUGAUAACCACUUAUUCACACACUGACAAUUUUUGCAAUAUUGGAUUUAAUUGAGU